rnacentral:lncRNA from 1 species
AGUAAACGUUUGGUUAGUAGUAAUACAAUAAAAAGUGUCACGACCCGGAUUUUUUUCCCUCGGAAAUCGUGAUGGUGCAUAAUCGUGGAAGCUUGGCAAGCCAAUUAUUAGGGGUCUACACAGUAACAAUCAAUCCCAAACAGUUAUAAACAAAAAACUUAAAAUUAAACAGCUGAUAAAUGCGGAAGAGUUAUAGCAUGAUCAAAUAAUCCAAUACAAGUCUACCUACGGAUCCGGUGUCACAACUUCAUGACAUCUACGAGUUACUACAAAUACUGGUCUGAAAAGAAAGUACAACUGUUCUCGGGAAAGAAAAGAGACAGUAGAAAAGCUAAAUAGGGAAGGGGGACUUUAGGCUCUGCGAACGCCAGCAAAUCUACCUUGGUCUCCCUGGACUGAAGGCAGCUACCGCAGAUACUUACCGGGUCCGAUACCGAAAUUUGCACAAAAGAGUAUAGAGUGUAGUAUCAGUACAACCGACCCCAUGUACUGAGUAAGUGUCGAGCCUAACCUCGGCGAAGUAGUGACGAGGCUAGGACACGACAAUCACAUAUACCUAUGCAGAUAGAUCAUAUACAGACAUAAAUAUAAUAACAGGAAUCAACAGAAUAAGGUGGGAAGGGGACAUGCUGCGGGAGAUAUCAGAUUCUAACAAUAAGCCAAUAAAGGAGCAUCAAUAAAGGAGCAUAAUGAACAUCAUAUUUAAAUCAACAAAACAGUGAAACGUUAACACGUGCACGACGUCACCCCAUGCUUUUACUCUCAUCCUCACCAUAUAAAAACAAUAGAAUGGCACGACAUCACCCUUCGUGCACUAUUCCUCACAUAUCGGCACGAUAUCACCCUUCGUGCAUUAACUCUCAAAUCAUGACACGGCAUCACCCUUCGUGCGUUAUCACUCAUAAUAUCGUGCACGACAUCACCCUUCGUGCUUUACACUCUCUCACAAUAACAUGCACGACAUCACCCUCCGUGAUUUACACUCUUCCUUACACAAACAAUGGAAAACAAUAUGUCCCGAAAAGGGAAUCAACUAUAUCAACAAUAACAUCCCGGCAAGGGAAUCAACAAUAUCAGCAAAACAUCCCGGCAAAGGAUUCAGCUAUAACCAAUCUCGCUUCAAAAAUUUCCUUACCAAAAUGAAACUUUAAUUUGAGUCAAUACUCAACAAUAGUCAAUUACCAAGAAACUUUCAUAAGCUUGUUCAACAUUACUAACCAUCAAUUGAGCAUGAUUGGUACAUAAUAGGUUCACAAAAUCAUGAUAUAAGACUCACGAGCAUGCUUGACACUAAUGUAUAGAUGCUCGUCACCACACAUAUAUGUCGUACUCGAUACAAGCACAUAGCAAAUAGACCAUAACUCCUAUUCCGUCAAGCUAAGGUUAUGCCAGACACUUACCUCGAUUCCACGAACAAGAUUAAGCCUCUACUAUCGCUUUACCUCUCGGUUUCACUUCCAAUUCGCUUGCAUCUAGUCACAAUUUACUUAACGAUAUCAACAAAUGCUAAAUAAACCAAUUCUAAUGCAUGAAAUUUCUAAUGAUUUCCCCAAAAAGUCAAAAAUUGACCCCGGGCCCGCUUGGUCAAAACCCGAAGUUCGAACCAAAACCCGAUCACCCAAUCACUCACGAACUCAAAUAUGUAAUUAGUUUUGAAAUCGGACAUCAAAUCAAGGUCAAAUUUUGAAAAUUUGAAAAUCCUAACUUCUACCCAAAAACACCCAAUUUCCCAUGAAAACCUUGAUUUUGAAAUGAAAUCAUGUAAAAAGAUGUUAUAGAUUGAAGAAAAUAAGUUAGAAAUUACUUACUAAUCAUUUAGAGAAGUUUGUGCCUUUGAAAAAUCGCCUAAGGAGGUUUAGGGUUUAAGAAUGUUCGAAAAAUGAAGAAAAUCCCCUCUGAAAUCACAUUUAGCAGGUGCAGUUAAGAGGGGUUCGCAAUUGCAAACCCUUCAAAAGUCUGCUACCUUGGCAUCUGCGAAGGAUAUGUCGCAUUUGCGACUCCUGACUCUUUCACAUUUGCGACCAAAUUGUCGCAUUUGCGAGAAUGGCCUGCCCAGGCUUGGUUCGCAAUUGCGACGCCUGGGUCGCAUUUCCCAAGCAUGAUAACUUCGCAUUUGCGAAGCCUGAUCUCGCAAUUGCGAGAUCAGAGUCCUUUCACACAGCUGCAACAUACCAACAAUUUUCAUACGUCCAAAUUCACUCUGUAGCCUCCAAAACUCACGCAAGCCCUCGGGGCCCCAAACCAAUCAUGCAUGCAAAUCUAAAAAUAUCAUAUGGACUUGCUCGUGUGAGCAAAUCAUCAAAAUAAUAUCAACAACUACGAAUUAAACCUCAAAUUCAUAAAAUCACUCAAGAACAUUGAAAUUUUUAUUUUCUCAACUAUAGGUCCGAUUUAUACCAAACCAAUUCCGAUUCUUGUCACACCUCCUUUUUCCUACACCCCCGUAAAAGGGUAUAAGAGAGUUUUUUCAAUUUAAAGUGACAAUCAAAACGGGGUCAUUUUAUUAAAAAUUUAGAGUCGCCACUUGGGAUAAUUUAUGGUGUCCCAAGUCACCGAUUCAAAUCCCGAAUCGAGGAAAAGAUUGACUCUGUUUUUCAGUCCGAGAACACAGAAAUCCGGGUAAGGAAUUCUGUUAACCCGGAGAAAGGUGUUAGGCAUCCCUGGAUUCCGUGGUUCUGGCACGGUCGCUUAACUGCUAUCAUUGGCCUAAUUAUCUAAUUUUAAAACACUUUUAAACCUAUGUGCAUUUUUAACUUUUUAACCGCUUUUAUUCAUUUUUAGGAAGAUUUCAACGUUAUACAAAACACGCCUUUGGAUCACGCCACAUGAAAUGCACCCGCUAUCUGCGACAUAUUUUAUUUAACGUUAUUAGGAUUUGGAUUUGGGUCACAUGAAAUGCACACCCGAGUUUAGGAAAGUAAUUUUUAAAAUAGUGCGCCUAAAGCAACUACGCAUUUUAAAUUUGUGAGGGCCAUGAAAAAUUCAACUAGAUGGUGCUCCUCGAUUUCUAAAAGAUUAAAAUUAAUUAAGUGAGGGCCAUGCGUUUGAGAUUUUAUUUGGGAUGGCACGCCUCAAAUUAUUCCAAAGGGCUUUACUCGACUAAAACAAACUACGGAUGAUCAUAAGUUAUUUUUUCUUAAACUACUUCAAUUUUUUCUUUUUAAAUCUAGUAGAUGAAAUAAUAUAUAUUUCUACAUAUAACAUCAGAUCAUUAAACCUGUCUAGGAGACAAAAGCUCAAAUAAAACGUAUAAACUUAUCCUGAACAUAUUCAUGGUCUAAGAAACUCUAUUCAACACAUAAUUACAGAGAUUCAAUAUUCACGAAUCAAAAAAUGCUAACCCAAGAACCCGUUUCGUGCUUCUGUACCCGUUGUCCAAUUAACUCACAAUUCAAACAAUUUCAAUGGACAAACUACCAUGACAAUCCAUUAGAACUAACAACCAGUGCUUAACUCUACAUUCACAAACCAUGGUACUGAAGGCAAAAUAAGGAUCGAAGCUAGAGCCACUAAUCUCUCACAUGAAUUUCGGAAAUAGGAAACAAACUUCAACCAUAUCAUUAUAAUUUCUAAAAUCAAUAGAAAUAGAAGAACACGAAAUCCUCUGAGAUGUAUUACUCAAAUUCAUAGCAGUGACAACUUGAUACUAACAAGGGUACAUUUAGAGCCAACAAAUAUAACUGAAAAGCAUUUAAGAUCUAGCAAGCAAUUUCUCAAAAAAUAAUAAUAGAAAAAUAACUCAACAAAACAUUGAACUAACAACAUGCCGUGAAUUUAAUACUUCUCAUUUCCAGUAACAAAUACAAACAAUUAGAGAUUCAGGGAUAUGUACCUAACUGCAGAGAGACCCGUAGGAACAAUGACCCAAAUAAAGGUCCAAAUUGAUGAAUGAAAUUGGGCAGCAGAAACGGCCAAACAAGGAGACAACAGUAGCAAAGAACCAAGCAAUGGCUUAUAGAGCUUCAGCAAUAAUCAACAACAAACAAAUCGNNNNN